UGACCGCUGGCGGCGUGCCUAAUACAUGCACGUCGCGCGAACAGACGAGGAGCUUGCUCCUCUGACGUUAGCGGCGGACGGGUGAGUAACACGUGGAUAACCUACCUAUAAGACUGGGAUAACUUCGGGAAACCGGAGCUAAUACCGGAUAAUAUAUUGAACCGCAUGGUUCAAUAGUGAAAGACGGUUUUGCUGUCACUUAUAGAUGGAUCCGCGCCGCAUUAGCUAGUUGGUAAGGUAACGGCUUACCAAGGCAACGAUGCGUAGCCGACCUGAGAGGGUGAUCGGCCACACUGGAACUGAGACACGGUCCAGACUCCUACGGGAGGCAGCAGUAGGGAAUCUUCCGCAAUGGGCGAAAGCCUGACGGAGCAACGCCGCGUGAGUGAUGAAGGUCUUCGGAUCGUAAAACUCUGUUAUUAGGGAAGAACAAAUGUGUAAGUAACUAUGCACGUCUUGACGGUACCUAAUCAGAAAGCCACGGCUAACUACGUG
rnacentral:rRNA from 1 species